UUUUCAUCAUUUGCAUAAUUAGUGCAAAAUCAUACUAGAGUAGGAUGGGAUCAUGAUAAGCAAUUUGUUCAAGUUGACGAUAAUGGUGGACGACUAAGAGUGAAAAUAGAGGACCUAAAUUCAUUGAUUUGCUUGAUAAAUGUUUUAAUUGUGCAAUAUAUAAUGAAUUUGCUCUUUACAAGCCAUAUGAAAAGCAACCACCUUUUG
rnacentral:lncRNA from 1 species